rnacentral:rRNA from 1 species
CCUACGGGAGGCAGCAGUGGGGAAUAUUGCACAAUGGGGGAAACCCUGAUGCAGCGACGCCGCGUGAGUGAAGAAGUAUUUCGGUAUGUAAAGCCCUAUCAGCAGGGAAGAAAAUGACGGUACCUGAUUAAGAAGCACCGGCUAACUACGUGCCAGCAGCCGCGGGAAUACGUAGGGGGCAAGCGUUAUCCGGAUUUACUGGGUGUAAAGGGAGCGUAGACGGCAGCACAAGUCUGGAGUGAAAUGCCGGGGCCUAACCCCGGAACUGCUUUGGAAACUGUGCAGCUAGAGUGCAUGGGAGGUAAGUGGAAUGCGUGGUGUAGCGGUGAAAUGCGUAGAUAUUAGGAGGAACCCCAGUGGCGAAGGCGGCUUACUGGACUGUAACUGACGUUGAGGCUCGAAAGCGUGGGGAUCGAACAGGAUUAGAUACCCCUGUAGUC